UAGUCCACGCCGUAAACGAUGUCAACUAGCCGUUGGGAGCAAUUAAGCUCUUAGUGGCGCAGCUAACGCGAUAAGUUGACCGCCUGGGGAGUACGCCGGCAACGGUAAAACUCAAAUGAAUUGACGGGGGCCCGCACAAGCGGUGGAGCAUGUGGUUUAAUUCGAUGCAACGCGAAAAACCUUACCUACCCUUGACAUCCUCAGAACUUGUUAGAGAUAACUUGGUGCCUUCGGGAACUGAGUGACAGGUGCUGCAUGGCUGUCGUCAGCUCGUGUCGUGAGAUGUUGGGUUAUGUCCCGUAACGAGCGCAACCCUUGUCCCUAUUUGCCAGCACUUCGGGUGGGAACUCUAGGGAGACUGCCGGUGACAAACCGGNGGAAGGUGGGGACGACGUCAAGUCAUCAUGGCCCUUACGACUUGGGCUACACACGUGCUACAAUGGUCGGUACAGAGGGCAGCAAAGCGCGACGUGGAGCCAAUCCCUUAAAACCGGUCGUAGUCCGGAUUCGGAGUCUGCAACUCGA
rnacentral:rRNA from 1 species